rnacentral:rRNA from 1 species
UCGGGAUAAGCCUGGGAAACUGGGUCUAAAACCGGAAAGGACCAUCGUUUGGAUGGCUUUGGGGAAAGUUUUUUCGGUGUGGGAUGAGCUCGCGGCCUAUCAGCUUGUUGGUGGGGUAAUGGCCUACCAAGGCGUCGACGGGUAGCCGGCCUGAGAGGGUGUACGGCCACAUUGGGACUGAGAUACGGCCCAGACUCCUACGGGAGGCAGCAGUGGGGAAUAUUGCACAAUGGGCGCAAGCCUGAUGCAGCGACGCCGCGUGGGGGAUGACGGCCUUCGGGUUGUAAACUCCUUUCGCUAGGACGAAGCGCAAGUGACGG